GUUCGGAUGGUCUAACGGAAUGACACCCCUAUCAAUGAACAGUCUUGGGGAAGAGUAGGUUCGACUCCUGCGCUGAACG